rnacentral:lncRNA from 1 species
GAGGUUUGAACAAGGGAUUCAAUCAGACUGAAGGUGCCCAGGACAAUGACACACCCCACUUGCCUCAGCUAUAGCUCACCAAUUAGCCUCCUGCACAGUCACGGGUUUUAUCUGUGGUCAAUAGAACAAUACUGAGUGUCACCAAUUGGUGGCUGAUUUGAAUAAAAUGUAGCUGAUGGCUCAGGUGAGCACAAGCAAUAGAGAAGAAUCAAAGGAAGUUCUUUGAAAAGAUUAAUAAAAGCUCUUCUUUCUCCAACGUGAAGAUCACGUCUGGUUUGGUAACUUGACACCCUGUAAGAG